AUUGAACGCUGGCGGCAGGCCUAACACAUGCAAGUCGAACGAGUGGCGGACGGGUGAGUAAUGUCUGGGAAACUGCCUUAUGGAGGGGGAUAACUACUGGAAACUGUAGCUAAUACCGCAUACCAUCAGAUGUGCCCAGAUGGGAUUAGGUAGUUGGUGGGGUAAAGGCUCACCAAGGCGACGAUCCCUAGCUUGUCUGAGAGGAUGACCAGCCACACUGGAACUGAGACACGUUCCAGACUCCUACGGGAGGCAGCAGUGGGGAAUAUUGCGCAAUGGGCGCAAGCCUGAUGCAGCCAUGCCGCGUGUAUGAAGAAGGCCUUCGGGUUGUAAAGUACUUUCAGCGGGGAGGCGUUACCCGCAGAAGAAGCACCGGCUAACUCCGUGCCAGCAGCCGCGGUAAUUC
rnacentral:rRNA from 1 species